AGGGAGGUCUUAUUAGAUCCCAUGCAGGGAUGAGUUCUUUAAUCUGAGGAAAACAGUUUCCCAACUCCUUUGGUAAAUAUUACUGUCAUGGGAUGAGCAAAUACUGAGAAUUCCUUCUCCAAGAAAUGGAAAGCCGUAACAGCCAUCAAGUGAACUCUGAUAGAACUCAUAGAUAAUCCUGAUUUUUUAAAAAAAAAUUCCAAUAGAUAGUGCAGGACAGCAGAGAGAGAGAGAGGAAAGAGCAGAUGAACGAUGCUACUGGUCAGACCAAUGGUGGAAUCUCUUCCAUUUCUGAAGGUAAGCGUUUCUUGUAGAAUUUUUCCUACUGUUGUACAGCAGCUGCUGUACCUCUGCAGAACAGGAAGUCUCUAUUUCUGUGAACCAUCAAGGAACCAAGCCUUGAGGGAGAGAAUUCCCAGGUUGGGAUGGAGAGUCUGACCAGCAUCUUGUGCGAGGGAAUGAGGAAUGGACAGAAGACUGAACACUGGACAAAGGGCAAGCUGAAUUAGCUGAUCAAACUGCUCUCUUGUGGAUCCUAGAGGCUGCCAAUCUUCCAGAAUAAUUACACCACUGGCAGUAGCAUCAUAAAUUAUUCACAUUAUCCUGACAAUGUAUUUAUAAACCUGAUCUGGAGGAACCAACUCUCAGUGUGAGAGCAGGAAGGUCCUUGAAAGAAAUACAUUCAGAUGAGGAAGGACCACAAGCAAAUGAUGAACUCGAUUUUACAAACUGCCAAAGCCUUUGCGAAUACUCAGGAAGAGGUGCAGUAAAUUUAAAGCACAC